ensembl:lncRNA
GGGAGCUUUACGGGCCUGUUUGUUUUCCUGAGCUAAUAUUUAAGUUCUUUUGCUUGCCCUCUGCACACAGCUGGUGGGCAGUAGGAGAAAAGUCAGGGGUCUGCCCUGGACUCAAACCAAUUGUAGAGAAUGUGCAAAGGGACUAGUCAAGGGUAGCCCCUUCAGCCAGUUUGCGUGGGGAAACUGUAAAAGAUGGGCUUGGUCUGCGUGCGCUGACCCAGGCCAGCAGGGGUGGGCACGCGUAGCAUUGGGGUGGUUUCCUGAGCCGCCUCCCGGUUGGACGGUCUCUGGCAGGGCAGACACCCCUCCCUGCUUCUCCAGCAGCGCCGGCCAGGAUCGGCACCCUUCAGGAGGGGCUUCCUGUCCCCUGACAGCAGACCUGGAGGGGGCCACCCCAGUGGUGUGACAUCACAAUGUAGCCCAUUCAGGAUCUUGGGACCCGCUUGCUCCUGGGCCCAGGAUAUAAGCUUAACCUCGCAGGGCUGGCCUCACCAACAGGGCCACGGCAGCAGAGACAAGCGCUGAUCUACCAGGCACUCUGGGCGGGCUCUCAGGCACAGGUGAUGACAAAGAUGCUCACCAGCAGUUCUGCACUCAUAUCCUACCAGCCGAGCAAUCCUUGCAGAGAAAGACAGCAUUUUUUACCAGUAAUUCCAACAGAAGUCCCAGAUUUGGCCUGGGCUAGAGUGGAGUUGUUGGGAAAUAUGAGUGCUGAAGCAGCCAUUUCAUCACCAUGAGUGGGACUAACCGAGACUGAAGCCGACACGAGGAGGAAAAGUUGAAAGAAUCAGAAAUGGAAGAUGGAUCACGUGUCUCCCAGGCUGAGAGCCUUCCUCUCUGAACCCAUUGGAGAAAAGGAUGUUGUCUGGGUCGAUGGGAUCAGCCAUGAGCUUGCAAUCAAUUUGGUCACCAAAGGUUUCAACAAGGGGUCAACAGAAAUCAGCCAGCCCCCCAAGUCUGCUGAGCUGGCAGGAUGGAUGAUUUGAACACACUCUCCACCCCCAUGAAGAGACUCUCGUCCUGUCAGGGCACCAGCCUGGCAAUGGCAGGUGGAGUAACAGCAGCCUGGGGUCUGCGCCAGAGUAGAGGGAUGUGCAUUGUUCUAAGAUGUCACUCCAGUCCAAGAAGGAACUCAAGGAUAUCCAGCGGAGUUGGAGCAUUCUUUUCUAUGUAAUCAUUUGUUUUUAUGGUGCUGUCAUAAAGCUGCUUGAAAUUUUAGGAGAGAAUGGGAGAUGCUCCCAAAGAGAACGCUAGAAAGUGAACACAUACAGAGACAAUGGGAAUUCACACAGAGCGUUGCAUGCUCCGUUGAGAGAGGUGCCUGCAACAGAGCUGUUACUGUUCAUUGCCUUCAGUUUUUCAAGUCAGUCUACACUGCUGUGCAGGAAGAUGUUUCGGAAACACCCAGAGAGUCUGGGAACCGCUGCACGCGCGGCUGAGGAUCAGCUUGGUUUGCAGGGGCACAGAGCAGGCUGUUUCCAGGGGGCAUGUGAACCACUGGGCCUAUGGUUUUCUGAUUGACACGCUGCUCUGCACCAGUUGUUAAAUAUUCUGAAUGUCAUUCCAAUCUGCUGGCCAAUUUACUAUCCAGUAGGUGGUAUUGUCAGGAAGCUGGAGCUCCACGACUAAGGUCGACUUCCUUCUUUCCUCCGCAUGAGGCAGAUAGGACCACUCCCGAGCAGGUGGUGAAGUAGACAAGUCUGCAUAGGGGAGACAGUUUUAAUUAAAAUUUCUCUUUCAAAAGAACUGAUUGUCCGUUUUACUUUUCUAUUGUGGUGUAACAUACGUGCCUUGGUAUGAAGCGUUCAGCUCACUGCAUGUUGACAUUAUAUCCACCCAGGGACUCACUACCUGGAUCUAGUGAUUGGGCAUCUCCAUAAUUCCCAAUGGUUCUCUCAUGCCUCUUCCCAAUCAGGGCCAUCCCCACUCCCAGAGGAAACCACUCUUCUGGCUUCUACCACCAUUGAUUGAAUAUUUCCAUAAUUGUGAGGUUUUGUUGUUGUUCGGCCAUACUCAUCAUUUAAAAAAUAUUUUUAUUUAUAUACAGUAAAUUUCACCUUUCUAGUACACAGUUCUGAGAGUUUUGACAAAUGCAUGCAGUCCUGUAGCCUCUAGCAGAAUCAAGACAUGGAAUAAUCUCCAUCACUCCAGAAUGUUCCCCUUUGCCCUUCAGAUUCCCCACCCUCAGCCCCUGGCAACCACUGAUUUGUUUCCUGUCCCUGUAGUUUUGCCUUUUCUGUCUUAAUUGUGUUUUAAAUGAGUAUUACAAGUGGGAUGAUAAGCAUGUUUAAGACCAAGAGAUGAAUGACUAAUGGAAAAAUUUCAGGCAUCUGAGAACUUAAUACACAGAGUCAGGGCUGUAGGGAAGAAGGGAGUGUUUGCCUAUAUGCAUCUGGGCCCCUGGAGACAUGCUCCUCUUGUGGUCACUGCCUCCUGGACAGCACCAUGACCAGCCCUCUACUUGUAGGCCCUGCUUGUCCCAGGGCCACUAAUUCCAGGCACUGACACCAGCGAUUCACCUUUCUCCUUUGCUUUGAGCCCCUCAGCCACCUGUGAAUGAGAUACAGGUCGCUAUCGCCCCUUCACAAAUGAGGAGACAGAGGCUCAGAGAAGUUGGCGCCUUGAUUAAGGUCGCGAGUGAGGAUCAGAAUGGCUGUGGAUUGUGCGGCCACGAGUCGCUCCAGAAGAUCCAGCCCAGUGGCUGCCCGGCAGGGAGGGGGCUUACACUGAAAUUUGGUGGCGAGACCCCAUAUCAGUGCCUGGAACCUGGCUGGUAAGUGGAUCCAGGAGGAGAGCCCCAGGUGACAUCUACAAGAUGAGCAAGUGCUUCUGGGUGAGGACUGGUCUGGGGUCAGGGCCAGCAGUAAGAGCCUCUGGGGCAGGCGGAUCCUAGCAGGGCGGGGGUCUCAGAGUUAGCAGCUAAAAAUGCAGGCUUCUGUGUUGCUUUCAAUGGACUUUAUUUUUUAGAGCAGUUUUAGGUUCACAGCAAAAUUGAGUGUAAAGUACAGAGUUCCCAAAUUCCCCUGGCCCCCCUCGCCCAUUAUCAACAUCCUGCACCAGAGCCUGCGAGUGUUACAGUCGAAGAGCCUACAGUGACACGUGGUUAUCUCCUAGAGCCUGUAGUUUACAUAAGGGUCACUCUUGGAGCUAUACAUUCUGUGGGUUUUGACAAAUGUGUGAUGACGUAUCCACCCUUCUAGUGUCAUACAGAGUUCUUUCACUGCCCUAAAAUCCUCUGAGCUCCUGUGUUGUUAGACCCUGCCAGCGGGAGACCCGAGCCUGGCAUAGGGAGGGACAUCUUUGUGGGUCUUUGCUGGCCUCUGUUGGGGUGUAGCGGCCCCUCCUCAGACCAGGGGUCAGCCAGGCUUUCUCCGCUGUGAGCGAACACAGCCUCAGGUUCCACCCUUGCUUGCGACCACUUUCUUGGCCUUGUCCCGGUGGUGCUGGCUCUUUCUGCACCCUUUCUGAGGACCCGCUGGGAUGCAGACCCACUGGGCUGCCCUCAGCCCUGCUCGCCUGGGCUCCUCACCCAGCCUUCGACACUCUCCCGAGAACCCAGGGUGCUGGAGCACCCAGAGCUGAGGCACCGCCCCCGCCCGGGGGACCCCACUGCAAUUGAUCUGGGUAUCUCCAUCACCUAUCUGGGGAGUUGGCCCUGCAUGGGGGGCAGACAUGGAGGCACCUUCUCAAGCUCUCAUCAGCCUCUAAAUCUAGCAACCUCUCCUCGAUUACUGCCCCGCCAGGUGAGACUUUCCUCUCUCCUCCGUGGAAGGCGUGGGGCGCUGGGAGGGGCUGGCCCCUCGCCCUGCUGGGCUUCCCCCGAGCUUUGGCGGUGGCAUGAACUGUCCUCUGGCUCAAAGUUUCAGUCGUGACUUUCAAAACUAGAUUCCACUAUAGAUUCACCCCAGUCUCUUCAGGAGCUCAAAAGUGAAAAAUGUGUGUGUUCUCUCUAGAUUGUUUCCUGCCUGCCCCUCUGCAGGGCAAUUGGCUUCGGCCUAAGGAACUAGAUCUGGGCCGUCAAUAUGGUGGUCACUGGCCCCUUGUACCCUUUGAGCGCCCAUCUGAAUGGACAUGUGCUAUAAAUAUAAAAUACGCAUGGCCAUUUUAAAGACUUAGUACCAAAAAAAGAAUGUAAAGUGUCUCAUUAGUAAUUUUUUUGAUUACGUGUUGAAAUGAUAAUACUUUAGAAAUAUGGGAGGAAAAAAACAUAUUGUUAGAAUUAGUUUGACCUUUUUAUUACCCCUUUUACUGUGGCUACUCAAAGAUUAAAAACACCAUCUGUGGCUGGCUCACAUUAGAUUUCCACUGGACAGCACUGGUCUGGAUUUAACGGCAGGAGGGCUGCAAGGGAGAAGGGAAUUACCAAGAAGGGAAAAG